UUCCUCAAAUGCUGGGAUUACAGGAAUGUGCCACUGUGUCAGCCUAAGACAAGUUUUUUAAAAAGGAAGUCAUACAACCUGAUAACUGUUUAUAUCAAUUGCAAUUAGGUUCAGCUGCUUGUAAACCCAAGCUACUAGUCAUUUAAGAUAGAGGUGCAUCUUUCUCUCGUAGAAAAUAAAUGUUGAGGUAGGUAGCGAAGGGCUUGUAUGAUAUUCAUACAGUCAUCAGUGGCUCAGCUUUACCUGCAGCAUGGGCUCAAUCAUAUAUAUCAAUAUUUUUUUCUAGGGAUUUUGCUAGAUCUUAAAUGGAAUUUGUUUAAUGUAUAGUGCAUUCAGCACAUAUUUAUUAUAUGCCCACUGUGUGCCAGGCUCAGAGGGAGAUCCUGUCUUUUUGAUCUACUUUUCUUAGGCCAGGCUUUCUAUCCUCAAGACCACCUCAUAUUCACAAGAUAAUUGCUGGAGUUCUGGCCAUCAUGCCCACAUUCCAGAUAGCCAGAGGGAGAAAAGGGGGAAGGGUAAAAGCAGUCAACUGAGUCAGUUCCCUUUGAAGUAUUUUCCCAGAAGCCUGUCAAUGACUUUUGCUAAAAUCUGUUUGGAUACUCUUAAGCACAAAGGAAUUCAGGAAUUAUGGGUUUGGUUUUUAUUUUCUUAACUCAAGCACAUUGCUGCCUGUAACUGUAUAAGGACCUGCUUUUUAAGAAAAAGACUGGAUAUUUCAUAAAUACUUGCAGUCUGCAACACUUUCCUACUCAGAAAUCUGUUGUACAUCCAACAUUUGGAAACCUUAGUUUAAAAUUUGACAAUGUAUGGGUACAUUGUGAAACUUUCUUACAAGCUAAGAAUGUAAAUAGCUGCCACUGAUUUCUCUUUAAGAUGACAGAGAACACGGAGUCCUGGUUUUAUAGAAGGUGGGUGAAGGGCAAUGAUGCUUCCUCUCUACCUCCUCACUCCCACCCCAGGGCAAGCCUUGCACCAUGUAAAUUGCUUUGGGGGUUACUGAUGUGUUCUAGAGCCAGGGAAGCUGGAUAUAUUAAAAAAGUGUUUACUGCUGAUUGUUUUGUGUAUUUAUUAAUUGGUUUUCCUCAUUCUUUCCCAAAGAGAAUUUCACAGUUGUUGGCUCUUCUUAUAAACCGUUGGUUUCUAAAUGAAAUAUAAACCAGCUACAUCCUUUACAAAUAGAUAAGGUGAAAUAAACACUUUUGAAACAAGCAUGAUUUAUUUCAUAUUAAUAAUUUUUCAUGUCUCUGUUUAUGGAAGCAACAUUCCCCUUUUUCUAAUCCUCUUUCCUUGCAGAUAGCAGGCAGGUGGGAAAAUGAGCAGUAGCCUCUGUAGCUACUUUUUAGUGACAAUUAGGAGAAGUUAAAGAUUAGAAGAAGUUAAAGAUGGCCUGAAUUCAUAAAGUCAUGUAAAAGAGGAACAUUCAGAGUGGAGGGAAAAAUAAUGCCUUUAGAUCUAUAGAACUGAUUCUUCAAUCAUUUACAUGCUUCCUAUUGGAGAUUCCAGUUUCUCUGGAUGGUUUUAAGCAGGUUGAGAUGGAACAAUUCUUCCUGAUUUGUGUGUUCAGUCCUAGCUCUUUGCUAGUUCAUGUUUAACUUAGUAUAAUGUUCUACCCCCAGUGUACAAAUGAGUGAGUGGGUGCAGUCAGUGAUGUCAGGCCACCUGUGGGUGCCCCAUCCCUACUAUGCUGAGUUCAAAAGCAGGAGCCUGCAGUACUAGGAGAAAUCCAUGCAUGGGGCCCAGAAAUGGGAAGGUGGAUUCACCUGGGAAAUAUUUUAAUAGAAGUAAAGAACAAGGCCAAGAAAUUGCUCAAGAGUCUGGCUAGGAGGUAGCCCAGAUACCUUUCAAUGAUCCAGAUAAGGCUUUUGUUCUUGUGUACUGAUCUUAUGUAUUGACAUGUCAGGAGCCAGGAGCAGUCCCUUUCCUGUGUAUUUUGUGUGGAAUCUUGCCUGGGGCUUUAGGCAGUUGACACAUGUUGGGUUUAUGGAAAAUAGUUUUCUUUGCUAUUUUGUGUCUGCCAGGACAACAUAUUAGGUCGGAGGCUAUCAUAGCAUUUUCUUUGCUGUUGUAAACAGUUCUCUGAGCUGAAGGGCUUCUGAAGUCAUCUAUUAUGUCCAUCUAGGUGAGAAGUGCUGUCUCAUGACUGGUAACAAUGGUUCACGUAUCACCUGCCUCUAAUGGUAACAUCAGGACCUCUCAUUUCCCAGUAGUGACUUUAAUUUCCUGUCACCAUUUCCUAGACGGUUAUGUUCAGAGGCUGGGUUGUGCCAUGGCACAUGAAAGAGAAUGACAGGAUGCAUCCUCAUUUCAUGUUACAAUUUGCCAGAAGAUCAUUAGAGAAGUCCGUUUAUGCCUUACUGCAGAUGAACGGAUCACAUGAUUGCAUUCCCAUUAUUUGGCACUGGGAUUGAGGUAUUAGGGAGGUGGAGAGUAUUACACUCAAAAUAAGUACAAGUCUUAGUAGGGCAGCAGUGGUCCUCAUGGACACUGGUAAGCCGAGUAGAGAUUCCCCCAAGAUGAUAAAGUUUUAAGGAAAGCCUUUUGGGCUAUGGGCCUGAUUUAUGUCUGAGUUACAUAACUUUCUUUCCUAGACACAUAAAAAUAUUAAGAGUAAUCAGUGACCUGGUGGGGAAGAGGUUAUUCUUCAUCAGACAUCAAAAGGUCCCCUUAGUUCUUGGGUUCCUUCUAUAACUUCCUUGAUGGUCCUUUUCCCUCCAGUCACUGGACAGUGCUUACUACUCCUUGAGCUUUUGGGACAUGAAUGUGACAUGUGUCUUGUCAUCGUAUCUCUCACAACAUCCAGCUGCUUGAAGGAGAUAGAAGGCAUGUGUGUGGAUAUAAUCAGGUGGUUGUUUUUUAAUCAGGUUGAUGGCAAGGACCAGGGGUGACUGCAAAGGAGUGAUUAUACCAGUGGGCCAGGAGACAUUAAGCUGGGUAGGCGGGAGAGUAAAAGCACGAGGAAGUACAGAGAAAGCCACUGGCAUACUCUGUUAAUUAGGUGGAAGAGAACCUUGCUCAACAAUGCUGGACAGCUGAGGUUUUAUUAUUUAAUACAGGUUCGUCAAAGUCAGGCAUUUUUUGGGUAGUUUUUUUCUUGACUCAUACUAAUUCUUGAUAAUCUCUAUGUGUUUUAUUAUUCAAAUUGACUUAUUGCCAAAACUAAAUUUAUUAACAACCUAUUCUUUACAUACAUUUUCUUGGUAUACCUUUAAAUAUUCUAUUGGGUUUAUAUUAUUGACAAUUAUUUGCUUUUUAAAUAUUUCUAGUUAAUCUGCCCUUCUUAGCCCUUCUUAUAUAAAUUGAUUAUAUAAUAUAUUCAAUGUACAGAUAAGUACAUCUAUAAAUAUUUUAACUUUACCAAGGUAAAAAUUUGCUUCAGGCAUUUUGUAUGUAAGGCAUUUAACAAAAAUUUAUAAUAUUGCCUUAACGUAUCUCCAGCUCUUUAUUUGAGUGUCUGCUUUAUCCUACUUUAGUGAAGGUGCAAGUGAAUAUUAUACAUUGUGACACAUUUUUCUGGCUUACCUCACUUCCUUAUCCCUCCCAUUGGAAUGGAUAAUUGAGGUAAUUAUCUGGGGGAAAAAAGUCAAGCCCCAAACCAAAUUCUUGCUUCAUUUCAUUGGUGUCAUUGAGGUGCCUCCCUUUAUGUCAUUAGGAAGCAGACAACAGUCUAUUUAUGUAAGCCAAAAAUAAGGGAGAAUGAUGUAAUGAUGAAUGCAAACCAGUCCCCGUGUAGUCUAGAAAAGGAAAUGGAGUUGCAGAGAAAGAAUUUGCAAUUUUUCCCCAGCACUGCUCAGAGGGAAGAUGUUUUGAUUAUUAAUGAAUCCACCUUGCUCUUUACAUGAAAGAUCCCCAAAGUAGAGAAGGGCAGUUCCUUGGGGUACCUUGUUCAGAUUCCCUAAGGAGUAUAAUAAUCUUAGCUCUGUUCUGUUCUCACCAAGCAAACUGCCAGUUGCUAACUCUGCUUUCAGGUGAACACCCUCCCUCUUUCCCAACCCUAAAGAAGGACAGGUCCCAUGCAGAUGUGUUCCUAGUUCUUGGGUCAAAAACUGUCUUCCACUUAAAAAAUUGAUAAUUUGGGAUUUACAUAGAUUUCCUUCUUAUUGGACUAUGGUAAAUCCAUUCUUUCAUACCUGUUACAGCCUGGGGGAACCUAACAAAACUGCUUUUCUGAAACUGCAGAAAGUCAUGGUGUUAUAAAAUGACAGCCCUUUGUGGGACUGAAGCUCAAAUGACCUCUGGCCCUACUCAUUUCUGAACCAUUCAUGAUGAAUGUUCAGUACUUGUGCAUUAAUUUUUUCUUAUUCAUUUUAAGGUUAUUUCAAGGCAUAAAGAAAGCUUAAAUGAAAAUAUAAUUUUUUCAUGUACCCUUAGUUUUCAUUUUAUAUUUUCAUAAAAUGUUUUUAAUGUUGUAGAAUUAAUGAUAUUCUUGGAGUUUUGGAGAAAGUUGCCAAAUGAAGAUUGGUAUUUGAACUUAGGCUUAAUGUUUUCUUUUAGUUUAUUUUGAUGAUAUUACUCUUUCAUGGGGGCAGCUAACAUAAAUAACAGGGAGCUCUUGUAAAUGUGAGAAAGAAGGAUAAUUUUUCUUCUGGAGAAGAAAACUUCCUGUUGAUAUGGUUUUUUUGAAUACAGGUUGUUUGAAAAUAUUUUAAUGUCCUAAAUCUUUGGAAUUUGGGAGACUUAGGAGCAAGUACAGAACAAAAGGGAGUACAUUUGGGAAUAUCAUUGGUUGGGGUGAUCAUUUGUUUUAUAUGUCAGCCUGCCUGGCCAACAGGGUGCUGAGAUAUCUGGUCACACAUUAUUCUAGUGUUCUCAUGAGGGUGUUUUGGAUGAAGUUAACAUUUGAAUUGGCUGACUGAGAAAAUAAGAUGGCCCUCCCUAAUGUGGUGGGCUUCAUCCAAUCAGUUGAGGGCCUGAGUAGAAUAAAAAGGUUGACUCUUCUGAAAUAAAAGAAUACCUCUUGCCUAACUGCCUUCAAACUAGAACAUCACCUUUUUUUUUCUACCUUUGGACUCCAUUGGCUCCUCUUGGGUCUUAAGCCUGCAGGCCUUUAAACUUGAACUAUACCAUUGGUUCUCCUGGAUCUCAGGCUUUUGGACUCAAACUGUAAUGAAUCAUUGGCUCCUCUAAGUCUGCAGCUCACCAACUUACCUUGCAGAUCUUGGGACUGCAUAGCCUCUCCAUAACUAAUGUGGUGGGCUUCAUCCACUCAGUUGAGGGCCAAUUCUUAUGUGUCAGCCAAUUUCUUAUAAGUCUCUCUCUCUCUCUCUCUCCGUGUGUGUGUGUGUGUGUGUGUGUGUGUUUAUACAUCUCUUAUUGGUUCUCUUGCUUUGGAAAACUCUGAUACACUAGGACUCAGUAGUUUUGGUUCAGAGAUAUAAAGAGAUAGAUGGCGGAGUGUAAUCAUUUUGAAAAUUAUGAACACUAGAGGGAACAUUAUAUAAAAUGACUUAAUUUGUCCAGUUUAAUGUUCUCUAGAAUAUCUGAUUUAAACAGAAUGAUGCUGAGAAAACAGAGGAAAUUAAAAUAAUGUUUUUAAAGUGUCUCAGAACAUUCUUUAAAUGUCUAGUGAUUGAAAUUAAUGCAGUAAAUUUCCCCUCUGCAAUAUUUUAGGUGUUGGAUAAAUAAUAAUGAAAAUGAAGCACUACACUUGGCAUGUGAUAAAAGGAAAUUAUUUCUUUACCUUGUGUUUAUCAAUUAAUGUCAUACACAAAUUAUAAUAUGAAAAAUACACAGUUUUAAACUCUAAUUUAUUCUUUAUACACAUUGUGGCAUAGUUUUCCCAUAAACAAUUAAGAAUAGAUGCUCUUUGAUAAGGCUUUUUCUCUCUAUCUCUGGCAAUCAGCAGUUCAUUCCUGGAUUGAGGGAAGUGUGCUCACAAUGUGUAGAGAACAACUCUUUGUUGCUAUGUAAGAUGGACUGUAUUUGAAAUAAAUGUAUUAGGCAAGUGUAGAGAUUAUUGGUUACUGAGUUUUGUUGUUUUUGUUAUUGAUUAGAGUGGCAGCAUGUGAAUGUAUUUUAAAUUAGGGCUAUGCUGAUAAAAGUAUAGAAAGGUUAAAAACAAGCAUAGCUACAACAUGCAGUGAAGAACUUAAAAUACUCUUUAAAUACAUGGGAUGCAAUUUUAAGAUUAUGGUAGACGGAGAAAACCCUCUUUACAUUAAAUUUAGUAAAUCUGAGAAAUGUGUUGGAGAUCACCAGAAAAUAGAUAAUAAAAUUUGGAACAUUUGUAAGGAAACAAAUAUUUUCUAGCUUAACCAGACAAACAAAAAUGUCUAAUCUUAUUUAUUUUAUAAAGAUGUAUUCCUACUGCUAUAUGAUGUUUAUCUUAUAUUGAACACAGUUAAUUUUAACAAAGCAAUGGAAAUACAAGUGAUUUUGUUUUAGAAUAUCAGGCCUCUAGGUAGGGUAAAUGCCUUUCAAUCCUAGGCAAAAGAGUAUAAUACAAGAAAUUUGUUUUGUAUUAAGAUUUUUUUUUCCUAUUAGAGGCUUCAGUUCCUGGACUUUCUUGGCUGUUUUUUUCUUAUUGUGCCUCCUUUAAUAUUUUUGCAAAAAGUGGAGAAGAAAAAAUAUUUGAAUAAUCGUUUUUUUAACCCCCCUAAGAAACCUGUUGGAAUAUGAGAUUUUGAAGUAAUGGUAGAUACAUUUUGCAUUUAAAAAAAUAAUACUUCUAAUAUUUUUUAUUUGGAGGUUUUAUUUGGGUUUUCUUUUUUUAAACAUGAAAGGCACUUUACAGCACACUGGUGGCUUCUGAAAGGGGUUGCUGGAAGGCGAAGUGCUGAGACUGUUGUCUGUACAAACUCAGGACUUCCCAGGAGAGCUGAAUUCUACAUGCCUAAACCUGAUUAGGCAUAAACUGUGUGUGGGCGGAAGGGAGCAUGAACACCAGGUUCUUCUCUCAAAUUCUCCAGAUAGGAGCAUCCCAGCCCCUUAGGGCUUGGCUUUCCUGCUGUACUCCAGCCUCAGGGAGUUGAUGUACAGAUACCUCCGUGUUAUUUGCAGGGGCCCCAACCUAAAAUAGCAUGUGGGACUUUUUGUCCACUAAUUUUGAACUUUUUUUAAAAACAUACUUGCCAUUUUCCUUUUUAUUAGGCUUUCUGAUACAAUCAUUUUAUAUUUAGGGUAGAGGUGGGCAUACUUAGGACCCAUAGGCUCCACAAUAUGCACCAUUCUGUGUGUGCCCACACAUGCGUGCAUGCACAUGCCCAGAGUGCCACUAGCCCACCUGCCCUUGCCCCCAACAAAAGCAUGCUUCAGCCCUUCUCAAGGACCAGCCAGGUGCCUUCUGGCAUGAUGAGUUUCUCACAGAGACCUCCUGUGAGAAGAAUAUUCUGAAUGCACUUCCUCUCCCUUUGCUUCCAAUUUUGGCUGAGUGUUAAUAGGUGCUCAGCAACCUGAAGGGAGAACUAUAUUUUCUUCCUCGUCUCAUCCCCAAUGUCUAACUCAGUGUCUGGCUGUCACUCAUUAUAUUUGUUUAGGCAGCAGCAGGAAGUAAUCCUGAAAGCAAUUCUGAAAAGUCAGGCUUGAGGCCUCACAAGUUCAUUGCCCAGCAUACAAGACAUAGGCCCCACCCUGUUUAAUAUCUUUCUUCUCAACAGAUAGCCUCACAUGCAAAAGCUACACAGUUAGGAGAUCUGUGCCAAAUCUGGAAUUUGCAGUGGCUGAUGACAGACAGCAGUGUCGAUUCCGUCACUCUGCUUGAUUCCCACCCACGUCUGAUGCCUGCUGAGAACACACUCUGUGUGAUUCCACCCUGUUUCCGUCUCACUCGCCUUUGUCACCAUACACUCUUCUUUUCUAAAGCUAGCUGGCUCUUUGUCUAGACAGCUCCCUCCCUCAUCUCCAGAUGGCUUUGUCUGGGAAGCCUACAGUCUUUUCCACUACCACCCCAAGAUGCAGAGGCAAUUAAAUCAGGCUAACUCUCAUGGUGUUACUCCAGUUAAUAGGCAUUUACCAAACAGUUUGGCAUUUUCUAGAAAGAAAAUGACAACAUUUUCCUCACUUAGUCAGUUCUCUGGGAGAUUUAUUCCUUUUAGAGUUAAAACUCUUUACUUGGAACAUGUCAGAAGCAACAUCUCAAAAGCAAGAUUCCAGUCUCCCAAGUUUUCUUUUGGACUUUCUGUCCAAUAUGUGGACUUUAUUUGUCUGCAGAAGACUGAGAUUUUAGGAAAUGAAUUCCCUCAAGAUCAGGUAAAUUGGGAGACACAAAACUGGGACAUCCAGAGACAUGAUUUAUGUCCAUAAAAUAGAGAAGCUUGUUGCUUUCUGGGGUUUAGUCUUUUUUGCGAGGGGAGGCGGGGUCACUCUGUGUUGCCCAUGCUGGACUCAAACUCCUGGAUUCAAGUGAUCCUCUUGCUUCAGCCUCCUGAGGUAGCUGGGACUAUAGGAAUGCACCACCAUGCCUGGCUUAGUCUGAUUUAAUUCAGCUCCCUGAUUAGACUCAUCUACAGUAUCUUGAUAUUUGUUUUUCUCCUGCCAGGGUACAUGCAGAUUCUUUGAUUUUCAGGUUUCGGAUUCUUGAUCUUUAAAACUUUAUGUACUCUGAACCACCAAACCCCUCACCAGAGAAACGCCAAACAGGGAAGGCUAAGAGCCAGUUUUUCCUUUUUUAUGUAGUUUAAAGUAGACUCAAAUGUAUCCCUAUCAUAAUGCUUAUUUCUUUCUGAUAUGCUUUCUUAAAACCUGAGAGAAUGAGGUAGAAUUGAAACUAACAUACUAGGAAUGGCUAAUCCACUGUAGUCAUUACUGAUGUGCUAAUGUUUUGGCCAUUUUUAAUUAUGGUAAUAUCUACAUCACAGUUAUGAUUAGCAAAAUGAAGCAGAAAAGAUGAUGCAAGUAAAAUUUGCAAUAACACAAUUCAUAUCCAUUACAUGUUUUUUUCUAGACAACCUGAAUGAAUAAAAGAUGUAAAUGCCCAAAUGAAGAGUAUUUAUAAACUUUACCUAUAUUGUUAACAACAGCAAAAUAGGUAGCAAACCUAGAAGAAUUUCUCUUAAUCCUGGGGCUGGCAUUAUUGAUUAUGUGCCUACCCCCCAUUUUGAGUUAGAUAUCUUAGGUCAAAUUAAAAACAAUUACCUUCCCAGAAUUUGCUAUUUGCACGUGAGAAAAGUGGUUAAAAUUUACAGAUAAAGAAAAUGUCUCCUUAUUUCUCAUAGUGUCCUUCUGUAGUCUGUAGAGCAUUCCUCAUUGGUUAAACAGGGAUAGCGUAAUUCUGAUCUCAUAGGAUUGUUAUAAGAAUUUAAUGACUUUAACAAGAGUAUACUAUUACACAUGGUGCAGUAAUUAUUGGGUAUUAUCAUUAUCAAGUCCAGGCUAGUGAUGAUACUUCAAAAUCAGUAUUUAAAUACUUCUUUGAUGACAGGAAUGAAAAGGAAUUAUCUACUAACAGACUAUUUUUAACAUUAAAUGAUAUGAACAGUAUAAUAUUUUAAUGUCAUUCCAUUUUCAUUUAUCUUAAGUUAGAAGCUUCAGAUUUAUGACUUGAUUGACCUCCUGAUAUAAUUGAAUAGAAAAACAUUCCUCUUUAGACUGAAGACAUUGAAUUUCUAUUUCCACCUCCAGGAAGCAGCUGAUUAUGUUGUCACAUUAUUAUUUUAAAGAGCAGCUUAAUAUAAAGUAUGCCAAAGCUGUUGUUAUUUUAACAAAAUAACAAAAUAAUUCUCCAACAAUGAUAAGCAAUGCCUUCCUGAAGCCUAGUUCAUUUAGUUGUGUGUAUGGGAGAAUGUUUUAAGGUUAAUUUCAGUUGGAAGAUCUUUGAUGCAUUAUUGCUGCUGAAAACCAGAUGUUUUACUGGAACAUUACUGAGGGUUUUUUUUGUUGUUGUUUUGUUUUUUUCUGAGGUUGUGAUACCUGUUGCUAAGAUAUUCAGGCUUGUGUCAUCUCUGGUGAUAUUUUCUAAACUGUAUUCCAUAAGACAUUAAUCUUGCAAAAUGCUCCAAUAAAUGGGGACAUUGUGAUUAGAUAAGUUUACUGCACAUGCUGUGCCUACUUUGGGAGGUCCACAUUGCUUGUGAGCUAAUUAAAAGCUUUGAGAAGUUUUGGAGUAAAGAAAUACAUGGAUAAAGAGUAUUAUUUGUUAUGGUAUUUUGGAGUUUCAAGCACUUGUUUCAGGUACUAAAGCAGAUCCAAAGCUGCUUUUUGAGGCCAAUUUUUGCCCUAGAUGCUGUGGCGGCCGACUUGUUUGGCAACCUCUUAUCCAGGUGAAGAUUGUAGGCAGUUUUUCAGCUUCUAUAAUGGAGUGUUAAUUUUGCACAUUCAUGUUUGGUAUUUGAAGUUCUUUCAGGCAUGAACACGUGGUACCUGCAUUAUGGGUUUUUUCAUUAGAGUUUAAACUUGAGGUAACUUCCAUCUAUAUCCUGUAACAGCCACACCUGAGUAGAGAAAGAAAAUAAUAGUCAUGCCUUUUCUAUUAAUUUAGGUUCCGCUCAUAAAUUAAUGAUCAUGGUUCAUGAGAGAGAGAUAUUCCUUGACUUCUUCGAUUGUAGCCCCCACAAAAAUACCCUCACUAGAUGACAUUAAUGUUAUUUUCUUAAAUUUUAUUGAAGAUAUAUGUAAUACAUAACAUUGUUAGGAUUAUUUUUUCAGUCUUCUAUUGCAUAUUUUUGUUGAAGACAUAUUACUAAAUGUGCCUUAUUUAAAUUCCCCUUAUUAAUACUCCUUGAUAAAGUCUGUUUGAAAUAUAGUAAUAAAAUAUUUGUUUUUCCCUUAAAAAGUAUUUUAUCCUAUCAGAUAUGAAUCAAAUAUAAUUGAAUAUUUUUUCAUGUUUUUUCUUUUUGCCUAGGCUGCCAGGAAGAUCAAAGUCACAUUUAAUACACAUCAAACAUCAUAGUAAUAUCUAUACAUUUUUUUUAGAAAACAGGCUUCUGUAUUUCUUCAAUUCCUUUGGUACUUAAAUUUUGUAGUGAAAGUGAAAUACUUAAUAUUUAAAGUCUGUGUCCAGAAAAUUAAUCUUGAAACCAUUUGAAUGGAUACAUUUUUUCAUAGAUAUAACAUUAUAUGUGUGUUAGAUUUCACACUGGCCUUCAGAGCUUCCUAAUCCAGUAAUAGCUUUGUAAUAUAUACAUAGAAAUUAUGAUUAAAAAAGAAAUACUCCUAUGUUUUAUAAAAUUAAGUAUGCCAACAUUUUGGAAUAUUAUUUAAACUGAUCAUUUUUUAAAAGUUGUAAUCAUUACAAAGUAAAACUAAAAUGUAAUGAAACAUAGAUGCUGGCUAUGAAAUCCAGAGAUGUAGGUAAUAUUAUUUUAUUUUAAAAAUGUAGAUUGAUGUAAUUACUUUUUCUAGAGUAAGCUGAAGAUGCAGGUUUAUUCAGCGAAAACCAGAGAUAUAGUUAUUGUAGGCAACAUAUCUCAGAUGCUGGUGCCAGGAAUUGAUGGCAGCUGGUUGCACACUGUGUUCACUCCAGUGUUGCUCAGUGCAUUGAACUAAGUAUUGUUAAUAAGGGAUGACACAUUGAACAUGCCAACAAAGUAACAUCAGUAAAAUAUUUCAAUAUACUUGUAUGUUUUUGGACACCCUCUAUAUUUUCAUUAAUUUUGCAUGAUAAGAAAGGAAGAAAAAUGAGCCCUAAUGAUCUGUGGUUAUAUUUUAUUAUAUCCAAUUUCAUCUACAUACUAUUUUCUUGAUUCUAGGAGAGCACCAGGAACUGCUCUUACAAUUAUCCCAAAUAAAGCUCUCACAUAGUAGGAGUCAUUUCUUCAAACCUUCUCUCUCCCAAAAUAUACUCCCUUUUUUUCUUAGUUACAUGGAGCCAUGAUAUAAUAAUUAUAAACAAAGGGUAUGCCUAGAGAGUAGAAUGCCAGGAGAAGAGAAUGAUGACUGAACUCCAAUCUUAAAAGGCAAUCUUGUGGAAAGGGUUAGUGGACUGACUCUGUGUAUACUUUGCAAUAAAACUAGAGCCAAUGGGUUGAAGCCUUCAGAACAUAGAUUUCCGCCUUUAAAAAUUUUUUUCUAAGAGUUAUAAGUGUUAAAAGCAUAAUCAACCAUUUUGUAGAAUUUCCCCCCAGUGGAUAUAUUUAAGUAGAGCUUCAAAGCCAAUUUCCAGAUAUUAAAGCACCUGUUUUAUGGGAUCUCAAAGCUCCAGUUUCUCCCACUGUUGUAGCACCUGAUAAAUCACCAUGCUCUGAGUUUUGCAUAAUUUGCUUCUCUACCCAUCUCCAGGGAGAGCCCCUUGAGGGUAACAACCAUAUAUUACUUAUUUUUGUAUCCCCAUCCAUUAGCACAAUGCUUGGCACGUAGUAGAUGCUCAAUAAAUGUUUACUGAAUAGAUGAAGGUAUGAACGGCUGCAGUUGAAAUAAUGGUUGAAAAAUGUUUUCUUCAUGUUGUAGAACCUGUCCUUCAAAUUGAAGUCUGACCUGGAGAUCCAGUAUGUAAAAGUGAUAAAGAUGGAGCUGUUCUGGUUAAGUGGAAUUCUAUGGCCUAGGGACGUACCCUCUGAGUCCUUGAAGCACCUUUGAAGAACUUCUAGGGACAUAGUUUUAGAAUCACUGGUCUACAAAGUCAAGUUUAGAAAACGUUUUUGAUUUGCGUUUUGAUUUCUAAUUCUUUGAUUCUCAGUCUCUUCAUUUCAAGUUUCCUGGGUUUCAUUUUCACACUCACUAUUUCUUUUCCUUGUCCUCAAAAUGUUUUUGAGGUUAAGAGAAGGUGUGCUAAAUAGGAAGGGCCUGUGGUUAUGUUCACACCGAGACCCAACUUCAUAAGUUCUUAAGCUGGAAAGGUUGUAUGACUGACACAUUCUGCAGCUCUUGCUUAAAGAUUUCUGCUGCAGCCUUUUGGUUUCAAUACAGAUUUGGUGGUCAUACCAUGGCUUCAGUGUCCUGGCUUCGGUCCCUGAUUACGGGUGAACCAGGAGUUUUGCAAGCCCAUGGUCACUCCCCAAAGGUGGAAUUACAUUUUAUAGAAUGCAGGAGAAGAAAGUAAAGGGAAGGCUCAUCUCUGAAGAUAGAUAUAGGCCCUCCACCCUGCUUCAUCUUUUGUACUUAGGCAGAGAGAGAAUGACAACUGGGGAGAAAGGCUAGUGAUGAAGUAGUCAUUAAACUGGCCAGAAAGACAGAAGGAAGGAGAAUAAUGAAUGCUAGGAAGAGAUGUGUCCUGAGCCUAAGUCUUGCUUCCAAACAAGGGAAAUUCAUAUUUCAUGUGCUUCUGUGUCUGAAAUUGCAUGUACUACCUGUAUAGUCAUUAGUGAUAGUGCUCUUCAACCUUGAAAGUCCAUUAAAAGAAGACUUUGAUUAAAUGCACUGACCAGAGACAGAAGAGUAUUGUGAUUGAUUAUAAUCUGCUUAGAUGAGAUAAAAAAAACUUAAGUUGUGGGAAUGAGAUAGUUUGGAUGCUGUCCAAAAUAGCAUGAAAGGCCUUUGAUCCAGUUUUCAGUAGAUUUGACAUUAUUAUGGCAGUAACUUGGAACUAUUUUAUUGUGUUCAGCCAGUUAACUAAAGAUGAUAUUUUAGACAUAUUAGAAGAGAAAUAGCUAGGGUAAAGACAAAGAGAAGGUAGGGGAGGGGCUAAAGAGAAAGAAAAGGAGCCAAAAGAUGUUUUAGAAGAAAAUCAUCUAAACCUUGUUCUCACACACACUGUCUCUACCUCCAUUACAGCAGCUUUCAUAUAAUUACUUAUGUAACUCAAUGAGGACAUUCUUUAGGCACUUAGUAAAUUCUAAUUGGCUAUAAGUAGGAAAGGAGUAAAAGAGUAGAGUGUGAAGGCAGCAAGGUCAGGGAAGAAGCCUUAAACUGACCACGUGAGCUGAUAAUGAAAACAUCUUUGUUGAAAUGUUCUAUAUACAGGAUUUACAUUGAAACUAGUUUUGCAUAUGCAAUGAUUUUUCAAAACCCUUAUCAGUCUUCAACAGGUAAAUAACCUAUUUGUUUGAGCCAUUCUGAAUUUAGCAUUCACCCCAAGCUCUCUGCUCCACCUGCAUUGCUCAGUCUUUGGCAUAUGACCUUCUCUCAUUAUUCAUAGAGAACAUUGGAAGGAUAUGAUGAUUGGUGUGAAAGAGGCCAUUUGAGAUAGAGGUGAGGAAAGUACUAGGAGCUCAUGUCACUAGGAACUAAUGCAUCAUAAUGUACUAACGUGGAAAAAUAGCAAAACAAAGACAUGAAUGAUAACAAGGAUAGAGAGAAGGAAGGAGAUUUUUCAAAAAGAUUAAAAACAGUGAAUUAGCAAGAAAAAAUUUAAAAUAAGUAAUAAAUGGUAUUAUCACAAAUGUAAAGAGAGCAUAAUAACAAAAAUAUUGAGGAAUGUGCUGAAAAGGAAGAAAGAGGUGUUUGGUGCUGGGUGCAUUGUGAAGUCUAAGCUCCUCCAUUGAGGGAUAGAUAGAGUUACUAUGUCUGAGGCAGUCUUGAUGGCAAUGCAGGCUUCAUUUGGCUCCUCUUAAAUCCAAGGGUUGUUUUCAGAUCAGAAGUUCAAGGUAGUCAUUCUCCAGGCAGACAUCUUGCUUCCACUACUCUUAGAUCUGCAAUGAAGACAUUUUUAUGGCUAAAAAUUAUUGCAGCUACCAUCAUCAAAACAGUAUCCCUGAAGAUAUACAGUCCUCUUCCAGCAAAAAGUUCCAUAUCAUUUUUUCCCUCUGGUCUAGGAAUAUAACAUCUUCCAUUAAAAUAUUUUCUAUGUCCUAUAUACCAUGCACUCCAAUCUCACUCCUCAUAAACAAACUCUGUGCAAGAGGGUGUUUAAUAUGCAACACUGUUUCUUCAGAUCAUAUUUGUUCCUCAAUUUAUUUUAAUACAGUGUCUACCCCAUUACCAUUCUGAAACCGUUCUAACAAAGGUCACCCAUGACAGCUAACCUGUUAAGGGCCAGAUCUUACAUGAAUCAUUUUCAGCACUUAUCCUUUUUUACCUCUCUGUAGAAAGGGGUGCCUCCUUCUUGAAAUCCUCUCCUUCCCUGAUUUCUGUGACAGAGACUUUCCUGGACUUUUUGCUGUUCUCUGGCUAGGCCUGCAUCAGAUUGUCAUUGACUUUCAGCCUGCCACCCACACUCUGCCUGGUCUUCUGCCCUCCUGCCAAAAAAGCUGUGUUCUGCACUCUCUUAUUCAUCUCAUCUUGUUGGUUUUGAGAUGGAAUGUCAUUAGCAUCUGUAUUUUCGGCCAAGACUAGGACAUUUAGAAGCCAUAAAAAUGGAAAUCAUAUCUUCCAUUUGAUGUAAUUCAAAAUAAAAACAAUAUGGAGUCAUUAAAAUAAGUUUAAGGAAGUUUAACAAAGUUCUUAAAAUUUCCAUGAUGCUGAUACUUCUUUGGAAAAAUAAUACCUUUAUUAUUUUUUUUCACUUUGGGUAACCCAAUUUUGCUAAUGCCCUAAUCUCUGUCAUCUUGAAGGGCAAUCCAACACUGUUCUUGUCACUUUGCAUGUCUUCUUCUUAGGUUGGCAUGACCCUUUCUCCUUGUUCCAGCCACCCUCCCCUCAAAUAAUUCAGAAAAAUGAAUGGAACUUGUUGUUGUGCAAUUGAUGUAGGAAUCUCUUUCUGUUUUACUUUUCUACCUGUUUUCUCCCCUUUCUUUGUUGUUAUUUGAAGUUUCUCAUCAUAUUUCCAACCUCAUGUAGUCUUUCUUCACACUACCCCCUUCUAUCGUCAUCUCAUUGGUACAGCAUUUGAAAUUACUGGAAUAUGACAAGUGCUGCUGUCCCCAUGUCUUUGGAAUGCUGACCCCCCACUUCCUGGAACACUCUUGCUCCUCCUUUUACCUGACACUAACCCCUGGUCACCACACAGAUCUCAACUUGCCUCUGCUUCCUCCUGGGAACCUUUCCUGGCCCUUUAGCUAAGAACUUACACAUUCCAUCAUGAUUGUUUAAAAGUCAACUAACAAAAAAUGACAAGGUUUUGAAAGACAAGAAAAGACUGAGGAACUGUCCCAGAAUGGAGGCGAUUAAAGAGACAUGAUGACAAAGUGCAAUGUGGGAUCCUGGAGUGAAUCCUGGAACAGAAGGACCAUAGUAGAAAAACUGGUGAGACAAAGUUUGUAGUUUAGUUAAUAGUAUUGUACCAAGGUCAAUUCCUUAGUUGUGGUCAUUGGUAUGAAGGUUAUGUGAGAUAUUGACAUUAAGGCAAGCUGGGGGAAAGGUCUAUGGGAACCUUUUCUACAAUUUUCAAUUUUUUUCUCAAGGUUUAAAAUUACUUUAAAAUAAAAAGUUAAAAAGAAAAGCCAACUAGGAGCUUUCUAUAGACAAAGUAUAUCUUAAGAAUGUAGAUUUCUAGCCCCUGAUGGUGUCCAGUCUAGUAGGUGCCCAAUAAACACCAAAGUAAUUUACCCUUGCUUGCUCCCAUUUUGGUUAUUUGCAGUCUGUUUUGUGCCUUCCCGUUCUGGUCUUACCUAGCAACAGCUUGGCUCCUUUAGGGAUGACCUAGUCCCAGAGUGCAUAUGCUUGAGAGGCCAGUAUCCUGCCUUUCUGUGGCAAUGAUGCUGUACUACAUACAUCCUAUGUAUUGGUAACUUGCUUUCAUCAGUACUGAGAGUAAUAAGGAAGAUAUAUAAAAUAAUAAGAGAAAGUGGGAAAUCUGGGCUCUUUUCUACCUUAUUUUAUUUUUUUUUGAGACAGGGUCUCACUUGGUUGCCCAGGCUGAGUUCGGUGGUGCACUCACAACUCUUCAGCUUCGACUUCCUGGGCUCAGGUGAUUCUCCCACCUCAGCCUCCCAAGUAGCUGGGACUACAAGUGUGUCCACCAUGCCCAGCUAAUUUUUUUGUUUGUUUCUUUGUUUUUGUAGAGAUGAGGUCUUGCUAUGUUGCCCAGGCUGGUCUUGAAUUCCUGGCCUCAAGCCUAGCCUCAUGUGAUCCUCCCACCUCAGCCUCCCAAAGUGCUGGGAUUACAGGUAUGAGCCAUUGCACCAGCCCUACCUUGAUUUUAAAUGAUACAAGUUUUGCCUUUGAAAUUAAAAUUUUUAUUAAUAUUUGCGUGCCUAGAUAGUCCAGUCAGAUUUUCAAUUGAGCAUCCUUUUUUUCUUAUGAUUUAAUACAUCCUUUUUUUUGUUUUACACAUCGAGAACUGACCACCUUUUUACUAAUAGCAUCUCUUCUCAAAUUUUGUGCAGAAAAUGUUCCUUUAAAAUGUCUUAAAGAUAUAAAAGGAUAUAUUUAUCCUAUUACAUUGUAGUAGAAAUCGAAAACACUAUGGCUUUUAUUAAGGUAACUUGCGAAAGUUGAAAAAAUCAUUUAAAAACCUGAGAAACUCUUGUAAAAUCCUCACUGAGCAUUGCCAAGAGCAUUCUAAACUUAGUCUGUCACUUUAAAAUGACUAUAUAAUAACACAUGUAAUUAAUAUGAGCUAUAAUAAGACCUUCUAAUCAGCUGAAAAUUCAAGAAAGGUUUUUUAAAGGUUGAAUCCUUUAUAUAAAUUUUGGGUCGAUGUGUAGUUAUUUUCCCCUUGCUCAUAAAACCUUUGAUUUGCAAUUAUUUCCUAUUGAAAACACAGAAUAUUUCAUUUCAAUCAUACCUGAAUUGUCAUUUGCUCUCAUAAACCAUGUAUUCCUAACAACAGAGUUAAGAUUAUCUUAGCAAAGAAAAGUCCCUCUUGUCUGUUUCUCAGUAUCCUCCCCUGGGGCUUUCUGCCCUGCCCAACUACUGACCUAUGUAAUUCCAAUGGCAUCUAUCAUCUCUAUCUAGGCACUAGGCACUCACACCUCACAAACACAAACAUCCACAUAUGGAAAGUGAGGAGCUUGGAGCAGAGAUUUCCUACAAUGAACAUUUUUAUAAAACAAGAACCAGGCAACUUGCCACAUUCAUGUUCCUUCAACUUAUAGUAAUGGGUAACUGGAUGGGGCAAUUUGAACUAGAAUUUAAAGUAAAAAGGAAACACAAACAGCCUCCAUUUGUUUAUAUAUUACAAUUUUGAAAAUGUUUACUGAAUACCCAAAUGCUAUCUACUUUGUGAGGUAUCACAAAUGCUUUUACAGAGUCAACAUGCAUAGAGACUCAGCAAUAUUUCUUGUAUCUAAGGACUUGGGAUGGUGAAAUCUCCUUUGUUGAGGACACCGCAGCACCAUAGAAGUAGCCAAUCUUUUAAACUCUCUUUUGCUUUACCAAUAAAAAGACAAACAAAAACAAAGCUUACUUUUUUUUGUUUUUUUUUUUGAGACGGAGUCUCAUUCUGUCACCAGGCUGGAGUGCAGUGGCGCAAUCUUGGCUCACUGCAACCUCUGCCUCCUGGGUUCAAGCGAUUCUCCUGCCUCAGCCCCCCGAGUAGCUGGGGCUACAGGCACCUGCCACCAUGACCAGCUAAUUUUUGUAUUUUUAAUAGAAGAUGAGGUUUCACCACGUUGGCCAGGAUGGUCUUGAUCUCUUGACCUCUUGAUCCGCCUACCUUGGCCUCCCAAAAUGCUGGGAUUGCAGGCGUGAGCCACUGCUCCCAGCCCAAUCUGAACAUUUUAACAAGCUUCCUAUUUAAAGGAAUGGGGUUUCAUAAGCAAAUAACUAAUAUAUGAUGAACUCCCCAAUUAGAUAUGUCUUUUAGACACAGUCUCAGAAUAUAAAUUCCCAGAAUUUCAUACACAUUUCUAACCUUCAUUUUUUAAAUUCAUAAUUGAAAACACCAUCAGCCAACUCUCAGAUCAAUUGAUUUUCCAUCUGUGAUCCUUGCUUCUUAUCAUUUUGACUAAUUAAUACUUCCAUUACUUCCACUUUUCCAUGCAGUUCUUGGCCAGUGGGCAGGGCAGCACCACCAUGCAGGGGUUUGAAAUAUUUGUUCAAUAACUGAUGUGCAAAAGUCUGGGUUAUAGAAAGGUUGAAAACGUCUCUACUAAGAUUAUACUACAGUGCCCUCUAGCCUAUAUAGCAGGGAGAAAAAUGUUUCCCCUUCCUGCUGUUCAUUUCUAGUGGCACAUUACAGUAUUUGUUAUAUAAAGGGUAUGAACCUGCUAUUAAAUACCAUACUUCCUAAAAGGCAGACAUAAAGUUGCUUUCUUAUAGCACACAUAAAAUUACUCUCUUAAACAGUCAGUGCCUUCUUGCUGAAGAAAUACCCAGUAUCCUAAAGUGUCAACAGGUGCAGAAACACUGCACUGCUGUGUCUAGGGACUUUCUGUUGAAAACCUUUGCUUGGCUGAGUAAAAGUAGAGAAGAGUUUAACUUCCAUCUCUCUUCCUCAUCCUCCAUCAGAAGGCAGCAGUCCAUAAACCCUAUUCUUAAGUGUGGCAAGUGCAGAUGCCUUUGGUGAUAUCUAAUUAUCCUUGAUCUCUAAAUCUUUAUUGUCUAUUGUUAAUAUUCUUUCCCUUCAUAUCAUUUUGGGAAAGAACAAUAUCUAUAGAUUUAAGCCCUUCUGUGUCUAUGUUGUUUUACAUUCAACAAAUAGACUUUAAAGAGAAAAUGUAGUGUUUCCUAAAAUCUUUCUUUGAUUACUUGAUAUCUGUGGUUUUCUUUCCUACCUCCCCUUCAAACAGAAGCCUUGAAAUACUAAAAACUUAACCUCAAGAAUUUCAUUAGGCAAAGCUCACAAUAUUUUUUUUGGAGAUAUUCUUUAAAAAAUAAUUUAUCUUUCUUCAAAAUCUUCAAAUUGUAAAAGUAGGUGAGGAGUAGGACAUAAUUUAUUCUACUGUGUUGGUUAAUAACCUUGAAAGUUUACUUAAAAGGCAGUCUCUUUCCUGAUUAUACAAAACAUUUAAUGGGAGGAAAAAAGCGCUCUUGAAGUAUUGCCAUACACAGACUUUUAAACUUACAAAAAAAAAAAAAAUACUGCAGCACGUUUACACUCUGCCAUAAAGUACUAUAAUGAAUAAUUAAAACAACUAGAAUUGUCAAAAUAAAUAACUAUGGAUUGCGGUGUAGUGCUCUAAAUUUUUUUAAUGCUUUUUUGCAUGUUGAUUUACAUAGCAUAGUAAUAAGUCAAGGAUUUCCCAGUCAUUAAAGUGAAUUAACAAGAAAGUAUUUUAAUGGGUAGUUUUGUCUUAUUUCAGAAUUUGACUAGUUAUUUAAUUCUAUACCCUUCUCUUGCAUUUACUCUAAAAAAAACUGUGUUUGUAUAAAUAAUGUAUUUAAAAAUAAACAAAUCAGAACUCCAUGGUCUGAAAAACAGAAUUUAGCAACUAAUUUGUCACGUAUAUGUGAAGCUUUCCCUAGUACCUCACUUCCAAGCAUUGAAGAAAUGAACAUUUCACGCAGAACAUGUAUCUUUACUGUUCAAUAAUUCAAAAGCGCUAACAACAAUAUGCAUUUAAGGGUCUUUAUAUUUCAUUCGAAAUACAAGCUCUUAAAACAACAACAUCAGUAUUUCUGUGUCUAUAUCCAAAUAUAUUAAAUGAUGUCUAAGUGAAUUUUCCCAGAAGAUUGUCACUAUUUCCCAUAUUAAGUCAUUGGUAUGAAAAAUUCCAGUUCACUUUCAUCUCUCCCUGUAUCUCUUUUGCAAUAUUCCGAAGUGGCCUACUUGGUAACCUCAACUUUGAGCUGAUGAAUGAAACUGGCAGUUUUCACGAGUUGUCUUCUAGUCCUGGAGCAAAGGACUGAGUAUAGGAGGAAGACUGCUGAAUGACAUCUGGGAGACUGCUCAGCUGAUCUGAGAUUUGAAGCUGGUGGUGUUCACAUACUUCUGCACCAUCCCAGAAUCUUUGCCUGAAACCAUCCCUCAGGCCAGCUAUUUCUUGGAGGUCUAUGACUAAUGUCACAUUGUAAAGGAACAAAAGUUUUUAAUCCAUGUUGGUGAUAUGAUUGGCAUUCUCAUUUAACCUCAUAAUAUAUUAAUAUGAUCAAAUUUUGCUAAAUAUGUGAAUGUAAAUCCAAAACAGUGAAUUGUUGAGAGUGGGAAAGAAGUCUGGGGAGGUGGGAGAGAGGGAGAGAUUCUAACACUUGUUGAAUAUCUGCUAAGUGCCAGGUGCUUGCUGUGUAUCAUCUCAUUGAAUCAUUGCAACACCACUGUAAAGAACUAGUUCCCCAGUUUUGCAUGUGAAAAAUAUUAAUUGCUUUCCCAGUGUUACCCUUGCCCAGUGAAUCAUGGGUCUUAAUUCUCCACCAAGUAUUUCUGACUGCAAAGCUCAUGUUUUCUGCCCAUAUGCACAUGAUCUGAAGGAUCAACUCAGCAAGAAAUACUUAAAGUUUUUUGUUGCUGAAUGCAUUAUAAUUUUGAGAAGACUUUAUGUAUGCCGUUGCUUCCCAAACAUUACAAUACAAUUGUGGAACACUCAAUGGAACUUUAGUUCAUUAUGGCAGUGAGAAGGUAACAAGGAAAUAAGAGCAGGUCUUUGCCCUUCCUGUUGCUCCGUGUCUCUUGCCUGAUGCCAGGUUUCCCUCAGACCGGAUAUGAGACUUGGACCUGUGGUUUAGGUGUCAUUUGCAGAACAGUAAGUCUCAGGUAGAGUCUUAUAGUUCCUGAUUGUAAAGGUCAAUCCAAGUUUAUUAAGGCUACUGUACAUCCCAGCUUUCCUGACAUAGCCUUGAAUUGAAGGGCUUUUAUUCUUCAUCAUAAAAAUGAUCUCUUAAUGUGUGCCAUCUUCCCUUGUAAGACUAUUUGAUACCUUUGCAAACAAGAAAGCCUCUUGUCAAAAUAUAUAAUGUGAUUUUUCUAUUUGGAGGGUCUCAAGAAGCAUAAGCAGAACUGAGUGAAAUAUGGAGGGCCUCCCUUUCCACCAGAUGUGUCCACACGGAGUGAUUGAGUGGUAUGCCCUGUGGCAGCAAGAGUGACAAGUCUUAGGCCUACUUCUGCUUUCACUUUUUCUUUUGUCUAUUGCUUAAAAUAACUGAGCUUUAUAUUUUGUUCCCCUCAUCAUGUGAAAUUGCAGAUGUUUACUGGUUUCAUUCUUUCUUUUGAUGAACUAACUCCCCCUCUAAUGGAUGGUUUUUGUUUUCAAAACAAAGCUGUACAUUUCAGUUUGAAUAGCUCCCUCUGAUAUAAUAAAGUUGUUCUUUUAACCCAUGUAA